rnacentral:lncRNA from 1 species
ACACAAACCGCUAAGUCGUCCGGAUCUCGUUUCCCACCUCUCACCGAGCAGCUCAUCCCACAUUCUGUCCACGCCGACGGCCGCCGGAACACUUUCGGUGGUCACCGUCAACACAGGCCGCUGUUAUGAUGCCGCGGGGUGGAUCGGGUGUCCAUUCGGCAUCACGAUUCUGGGCUUUCGUGGAAACACGAGCUGCUCGGGGCGGGAGGCCGGGGGUUCUGCGACGCCGCACGAGGGUCGAGUUCCAUCUUUAAGCCCUCACGGAGAGAAGAAGACGGGGGGGGGACGGAGAAAGAUGGAAAAAGAGAGAGAGAGUCACGUUACCAGACCUCUUCCAGCAUAAACACUCCCCUCCAACGCGGCGGACGCUCCGGUAACUCAGGUAAAGACCCCGACAUGAAUAUUUCAGCACCGCGGGGAUGUACAGCACUCCCGAAACGUAUCACGUUCCCCACGCCGAGGGGGUCCCGAGCAUGUCGACCCCUGAUUAGGGCUCUUCCCGCAGCCUUGAUUGUCUUCGGGCGAGGAUUAGCCCCCUCUCGGCAGCAGACCCGGGGGUCCUCUCAGCCAGGAUCAGACCGUGGGGGAGACGUGCUGACUUCAGAAGGCGUUGAGUUGCUAUUAGACCACGUGUGAAUUCUAUUGAUACGUGGGAUCCGCACCAUUAAAUCACCAGCUACUCAUUUACAUACAUUUACAUUUACAGCAUUUACCAGGCACCCUUAUCCAGAGCGACUUACAGUCAGUAGUUACAGGAACAGUCCCCCUGGAGACACUCAGGGUUAAGUGUCUUGCUCAGGGACACGAUGGUAGUAAGUGGGAUUUGAACCUGGGUCUUCUGGUUCAUAAACGAGUUAGUGUUACCCACCAGGCCACUACACCCCAAGUUCGUAGGGGAUCAAGGUACAUUUUUACAAAUGAUUACAAAAACCUAUAAAAACACUUCAAAUGUGAUAUGGCAUUUAUACUAGAUGCAUACCAUAUGGUGAUAAGCACAUUGUUUUGUCAAUAAGUGAAUGUAUAAAUGGAAAUUUCAUCUGCACUCUUUUUAUCUUCCCAUUUUUUUACGUAAUCAAGAAUAAUGGCUUCUAGAGGCCACAAGAAAAUGAUGUAAAAUCUGGGGGCCUGGUACACAAAUUUACCUUGAUCACCUACAAACUUGCUUGCUCUUCCACAGUCAGGGAACGGCAUCUGCUGAACUUAGCCCUGAAUGUAUUUUCUCCUCUAUCUCAGUUACUGGUAUUUACAGAUUGGUUCAGAUUGGUUCUGUUAGACACAGACAAAGUUAAAUUUACUCUAGUUAGGCUGUCCUAGUUAGGGUACCGGGCCACUGUAGCACCAAUAUACCACUAUAACCACAUAUUAUCGGUUGUACAGUGCAACCGUCUGCCGCUGCUUCUGUUUGUUUUUCUCUGAGACACGGAAUCAAGCGUCCAGACUACUGGCAGACCCCAGUGAUCAGACCAGCAAAUAAAUCCUGGUUCCUGACAACUUCUAAACA